AUGGAGGAGAUCGUGCUUGGACUGUCCAAGACGGUGGUGGAGGGGACGCUGGUCAAGGUGAAGGCCGCGAUUGACGAGGAGGCGAAGCUGAAGCUUGCCGUGCAGAGCGACCUGGUGUUCAUCACGGGGGAAUUCGAGAUGAUGCAGUCGUUCCUCAACGUCGCCGACGCGGAGCGCAUCAAGAACAACGCCGUCAAGACGUGGGUGCGGCAGCUCCGCGACCUGGCCUACGACACCGAAGACUGCAUCGAGCUGGUGGUCCACCUGGAUCCCAAGCCCAGAUGGUGGCGCCGCCUGCUGGUCCUGCCUUGCCUGCCGGCGGUGUCGCUGCCCAUGGACGACGCGGCGGCGGAGAUAAAGGAGCUCAAGGACCGGGUGGAGUUCGUGAGCCAGAGGAACAUGCGCUACAAGCUCAUCACCGACUUCGGCGGCGCCAAGUCCGUCGCGCAGCAGCAGCUUGACCGGGCCGCCGGAGCUCUCGACAUCGCCGUGGAGGAGGCGGCGAAGAAAGGUCGUAGCUUGGUGGAUCUGACCGAGUUGAUCCCCAGAAUGGAAGACCGCCCUGAGCUCGGCGUGAUCUCGGUGUGGGGGACCGGCGGCGACCUUGGGGUGGCGUCCAUCGUCAGGAAGGCCUACGACGACCCUGAAAUUUGCAAGAACUUCCAUAGUCGUGGCUGGGCCAAGUUGACCCACCCUUUCGAUCCGCGGAAGAUCCUCCGGAGCUUGUUCAUUCAGUUCUGCACUAACACUGCUGCUCCACAGAAGCAAGGGGAAACUCUGGAUGUAGAUUCCCUUCUAAGGAUGGAGAAGACGGUGGUGGAAGAAGGGGAGCUGGUCAAGCAGUUUGUGAGUCAUGUGAGCACCCACAGGUUCCUCGUUGUCCUCGAAGGCGUGUCAACCAUGGCGGAAUGGGAUGCCCUCCGGAUGUACCUGCCAGACAUGGGUAACGGGAGCCAGAUCAUCGUAUCCACACAGCAUUUUGACAUCGCGAGCUUGUGCACCGGGCAGCUGCACAAAGUUUCAGAGUUGAGAAAAUUCACACCUGACCACUCUGUUUGUGUCUUUUUCAAGGAAGUUUCCGGAGGUGAUGAUCCUGGAAAUGCAAUGUUGGAGGGAGAUGACGAAACUGAACUUAUUGGGCGCGACACAGAAGAGGACGAGCUUAUGGAGCAGAUUGAUGAGGUUUCCCGUGUGAUCUCCGUAUGGGGGAUUGCUGGUGUAGGAAAAUCGGCACUUGUCAGAAGUGCCUACUGCAAGUAUCUGCAGGACCGCCCCAACUUCGCCGGGUUAAAUCUGACCUACAUACACGGGCGCGUGAACGUGCCCCAUCCCUUCAAUCUGAGGGAGUUCUGCCGCAGCUUGCUCCUGAACUUGUCCUCUGAGCCUGCUAAAACCAAAGAGGACGCCGUCGCUGAACUGGCAAACAUGACCAAUCCAAUUGAUGUCUGCCGGAAGCUUCUUAGCGACGAUCAACAACAGAAGCAGUGCCUUAUUGUUAUUGAUGACCUGCAGUCCACUGAAGAAUGGGACAGAAUAAAACAAGCCUUGUCAUUUGGUAAAGAAUGUUGUAUCAUAGUUGUUACAAAUGAUUCAAGUGUUGCCAAAUAUUGUUCAGGGCAAGAUCAGAAACUCAUGUCCAACGUCAAAGGUCUUGGUGACGAGCAUGCCCUUGACCUCUUCAACAUGGUAUAUGACGGCGUGGGUAACCACAUCACACGGGAUGAGGACAUGAUCAAUCAGUCGAAGCUAAUGUUAAACAAAUGCGGCGGACUACCCAAGGUGAUAGUUGCAAUUGGUCGUUUCUUGGCCAAGAGUCUGAAUUGGGAGGCCAUGAAUACUAACUUUAUUCACCAGUUGGAAAACAACCCGGAGCUGGCUAGUGUACAUAGCAUGUUUAGUUGGCUAGACUCCUACUUCCACAAUUGUCCUGACGAACUCAAGCCAUGCAUCUUCUAUUUGUCAAUCUUCCCUCGACGCCAUGGCAUUCGUCGAAGGCGUCUGGUGAGGCGGUGGAUUGCCGAGGGCUACUCAAGAGACACCGACGGGAAUCUCGCGGAAGUGAACGGGGAAAAUUACUUCUCCAGGCUCGUCAACCUCAGCAUGCUCACAGAUGCUGAGCGUGAUGUCAACGUGGCUGGGACAGCGACUGGGGCUGGUACUGGGAGGAGAAUGGCCAUGUGCAACGUCAACGAUUUCUUCCGGGAGUACAUUGUGUCGCGGCGAAUGGAGGAGAACCAUGUGUUUGCACUGGAGGGGAGGUGCAGCCAGACCACGCGGCGCACUGGACGGCACCUGGUCAUCGACAAAAGCUGGGACGGGGACGAGAGCGUGUUCAACAGGAUCGAGUUCUCGCGACUGCGGUCGGUGACGGUGUUCGGACCCUGGAAGCCAUUCCUGGCCUCCGACAAGAUGAGGGUGCUCCGCGUGCUUGAUCUGGAAGGCACUGAGGGUCUGACAGACAACGACAUCAAGAACAUCGUCAAACGGCUGCCUCGACUAAAGUUCCUCUCCCUGCGAGGAUGCAAGCACAUCUUUCGGCUGCCAAAAUCCCUGGGUCGCCUGAGGCAGCUCCAGACCCUGGAUGUGAGGCACACUGCCGUAGCCGGGCUGCCAGCGACCGUCGUGAAGCUACAGAAGCUGCAGUAUGUUCGUGCCGGCAACACACCAGAGGAGUAUGCCGUCAGCGACAGCACGGAAUCUAGCACCUCAGUACCCAUCUGUUUCUCAUGUGGCCCUGUUGGCAAUCACAUUGUCGGCGUUGAGGUGCCUCGCGGGGUCGAGAAUCUGACCAACCUGCACACACUGGGCGUCAUCAAAGCCACUGUGGCAGGACUCAAGGAGCUCAAGAAGCUUACCCAGCUGCGCAAGCUCGGCGUGUCUGGCAUAAACCGGAGGAACCACAAAGAGCUCUGCGCCGUCAUCUCGGGCCACGGCCAUCUGGAAUCUCUGUCGAUAUGGUUUGACAAGGACACCGAGAGGAUUGCUGACCCUUGUUCGCCGAGCAAUGAUGACUUCAAGCCUCCAGAGAAGCUACGGAGGCUCAAACUCCAUGGGCACACUGACAACCUGCCAGCAUGGGUUAGCACUCUCAAAAUAUUUGUCACUCAAGAUCAAUGA
rnacentral:rRNA from 1 species